AUUCCGUACGGUUUCCGUGCGGUUUAGCACUUUUACCGCGCCAUUCUAUAUGUCCAUGCAUUCUAGGGCCAGGCAGUAAGAGGCCUUCUUGGCUUUCCAUAACACACGGUUGGCCGGUAUCAAAUGAUUUUGGGGAGAAAAAAAGAUCGUCCUGGCGGCCUUAAACUGACUCAACAGCGCCACCUGCUGUUGUGUAGUGUGAAUCACAGGACAUUUGUUUGUCACGUGACUUUUGGCGCUCAUUGUCCGCCUGACUGAUCCACGCGCAAAUGCUUUCAGAUCCAAGCGCAGCUUUCAGUGUUCCGUACUUGUAGAAUUGUUUUAGUGCCUACUAUAGACCAAAAGAGAUUGUCGCAGUUGUCUUGUGAGACGACUGCUUCCGUUGAUGUUGUCGGAAAAGGGUGUUUGUUAUUUUUAAGUGAGGCCGAAAUGCCCGCUGAAAAGAGGCGGAUUCAGGAGCGAGAGAGACAACUCAAGGAGGCAGCAAAGGGGAGCACAUCACUGCAGGGUUGGCUACGAAAAAGCCAACAAGCAGAUGAGGAGCAGCCAAAAGCCUCCAGCCACAAGGAAGUUGGGGACCAGGAGGCACGUAGUGCAGGUAGGCCUAAGUGCUGAUCACCAAAUAUGAGAUGAGAGGACCAUGCUAGAAAGUACAGGGUUAAAGAGCUGCAUGCUAAAUAAUCGUAAUCUAAAAAGAACAUAGGCUAUUUUAGAGAUCCUUUCAAAGAUCUUGCCAGAGCAGAACAUAAAUAACCCUGCUUCUAAUGGGCAUUCAAAUAAUAAUGAUAAUGGUAAUAACAAUAAUAUGUAAUUGGAGAGAUGGUGAGCCCGGUGCAUCAGCUGCGUUCAGAGUGCCAGAGCCAGAGCCAAUCCCAGAUGAGAUCAGGACAGACUGGCAAAACAGGGAAAGGAGAGAUGAGUAGAAGGAUGAGAUGAGGGAGAGGAGAACAUCAGAAAGGGAGGAUAUUGAGGUGAAGAGUGGGGCAGAAUCCACAGAUUUAGAUUUUUUGCUGAGGUUGGCUUAUCCCACAGAUCCAGCUCAUGUACAGAGCAGCAAUCUUAAAUACGAUCAGACCUUCAUCACAUUUUCCCUAAAAAUCUCCCUAAAAACACAAAUAAAGGGUGAUUGAGUGCUGUAUUUCAGUGUUUUACUAAUUUGUAUUAAUAUAUUAAUAAAGACUAGGGGUGGGUAUUUCCAGGUACCUCACGAUUCAAUUCGAUUCUUUAGGGCUUGAUUUGAUUCGAUUUUGAUUUGAUAUUGAUUCAUUUGCUUCGAUAUUGAUUAAAUAAUACAUGCAGAUGACAAAAAUACCUAAAUAUUAUUUAGAAUUAACCAUUUAAAAAUGAAUUAACUAGGGAUGGGCACGAGUAGUAAAUUCCAAACUCGAGUGAUCGAAUGAAUUCCUCGAGGAUCAAUCGAGUACUCGUUUAAAACUAAUCUAUUUUUAGAAUGCAACGCAUCUGCAGCAGGAAUUGGCCUAAUGAUGAACGGCAAUAUUACCAACCAAACAUGUAAUGCUUAUUCUCACUCAAAACAGUCAAAGAGUUAUCAGAGUAUUCAUUAUUUAUUUUGGUAAACGUUCAAAACACAUUUUCCUUGCAAAAAUAAAUAUGCAUCUCACAUUUUAAAUCACGUCGAAAAAGGCCUGUAACGGUUUAAAAAAAAAAAAAACUAAACAAGUAGCCUAACCUUUGCAAAUAAUUUAAAGCUGCAAAUAAAACUGCAGCAAAUGAACUAAAAACAUACUCAGCGAUCUUCUAUACACGGCCGGGAUUACAGCUGCGUCUUGCGGGGGUGAAAAUAACCGACACACUUGGUUGCUGCGGGUCUGCUUUCCCGAACUCACCGUUGUGUUUCAGGAGCAUAUGUUGCCGCAUAGUACUUGUAGUACUCUGGUAGCUCAAUUUCGCUUGGCAUAUUUGACAUUUCACCGUAUGAUCUCCUUUUUCUGUAAAGUAUUUCUGUAAAACCAUUUCAUUGUGCUUUAACUAGCAAAAAGGGAAUACACCAUUGUAUAGUAUUGUUCCUGAGCUAAUCUUGCAGCAUAAAAGUAAUAAUCAUAACAUGGACAAAUGUAAAGGGGCAUGUACAUUUGGGCAUAUUCGCUUCUACAGUAGAUUACAAUGAAUGAGUAUGCUUCAUUUAUUUUAUUUUUUUAUGGAAAUAAUCGAUUUGCACUGUUUGCAGAAAAAAUUAACAACUUAGAUAAGACAAAAUAAGCAAUCUUUUUCAAGUAAAUAAAGGAUCUUCAGGUUUGACACAAUUACAAACAGUUAGACAGUGCUAGUCAAAGCAAAUCUUUUUUUCCUUGAUUGAAAAGGUGCUAUGUUCAAAAGAGCAGCGCUGUGUCUCUGGGUUGUACUGGACGUCUCCGCAGCAAACGCUGUCCUUGUGUUCCUUCCUAAGGAUCUUCUCACUGCGCAGAUUUCCACAGCACAACUGUCGGUCCACAUUAUAGGCCUCUGUAGGACACACAAGGUUGUUAAAAACCUUGUCAUAUUCGACCCAGUCGGUGCUGACCUCUUGAAGAGCAUACGAUCAGACUACAGCUUUGUUCGGCGUUCUUAAACCAACAAAAUCUAAACUUCAAUGGCUUUCUUAAUCUCUAAACCUAAAUAGAUCUCUAAUGAUGAAAAACAUUCUAACACCCUUGGCUAACCUCCAAUGGUAAUGCUAUGAUAACAAAUCCCCUCUGUUGGCCGCCUAUAUUCCAGACAGGCUGAUUCCGACACAAAAACACACACACACAUACACUUACACAUACACACACACACACACCUACCCCAGCAGGGCAGCCGCGUAGGCCCUGUUACCACCUGACAGUAACAUGCGUCUUAAAUGAGCCAAUCAGGGUUGGACAGUAUCGCCCCACUCCACACACCAAACCCGAUACGAAGGACCAGACUGGAUUCAGACCACAAACCAUGUCACAUCUACUGUGUUUUGUAACGGAUGAUCGUUACUCACCCUGUCCACAGUACUUAGACAAUGUUCCGGGUUCCGACACCAUGUGGUUUGCUGUGGACAUAAGUAAUCUUUUAUAUAAUUUCUCUUUGCACUCUUUACUGAAGUUUGUUCACUGAAGUGUGCAUGCAGCAAUGAGAAGAAAACAAACCUGUGGGCCCUUGGGUCUCAUAUGAAACUGAGAGUUCAUUUAUUUUAGGAGAAUCCCCGUCGCAGCCCUGUGUCUGUGGGUUGUACUGGUAGUCUCCACAGCAAAUGCUGUCCUUGUGUUCCUUCAUAAGGAUCUUGUGACUGCGCAGACUUCCACAGCACAACUGCCGGUACACAUUAUAGGCCUCUGUAGAAAACACAAUUACUGUAUGCACUCUUAUAUUCUAGAUCAGUGGUCUUUAACCUGGGGUUCAUGGAGGUGCUUCAGAGGGUCACCAAUUGUGUAGGGUUAAAUCAUGAUAUUUCUUUUUUAUAAAUGCAAUUAAAGGUCAAAUAGGAAAGUUUUGCAACUUGCGACCUGAUCCUAAACCCUUACCUCUCCAUACUCUCUCAAAAGCCUGCCCACCGAAAAAGCCAAAAUAGCAAAACCCCAAAUUGUAUAAAUAUAGGCCAUGCACAACAUACAGCAGAAAAACGUAUGUGCAAACGUUUUUUCUCCAGAAAAUACUUAAAUGAGCCAAUCACAGGUGGACAGCAUCUCGGGGCCAGCAUCACCCCGCUCCACACACCACACCCGAUACGAAGAACCGGACUGGAUUCAGACCACAAACUAGAUAACAUCUACUGUGUUUUGUAACAGAUGAUCGAUACUCACCCAGUCCACAGCACUUCGACAAUGUCCCGGGUGUCGGGAUCAUGUUGUUUACUGUGGACAUGUCAUCUUUUAUACAAUUUAUCUUGGCACUCUUUUCUCAAGUUUUUCACUGAAGUGUGCAUGUAGUACUGAGAAGGAAACAAACCUGUGGGCUCUUGGGUCAAACCCUGGUCUGAGUCUGUUUCAUAGGGAACUGAGAGUUCAUUUAUUUCAGGAGGAUCUCCACAGCAGCCCUGUGUCUCUGGGUUGUACUGGACGUCUCCACAGCAAAUGCUGCCCUUCUGUUUCUUCAUAAGGAUCUUCACAUUGCCCAGACUUCCACAGCACAACUGCCGGUCCACAUUAUAGGCCUCUGUAGGAAAAACAAGGUUCAUAAAAACCUUGUCAUAUUCGCCCAGUCGGUGCUGACCUCUUGAAGAGCAUAUGAUCAGACUACAGCUUUUUUUGGCGUUCUUAAAAGGUCCCAUGGCAUGCUACUUUGUGGAUGCUUUAAUACAGAUAUUACCGGGCCCCAAACACAGUAUUUGAAGACGUUCCCGAAAUUCAGCCGACAUUGAGCUUUUCCCAAACGCGCCGUUUCGGUGUCUGUAGCUUUAAUGCAAAUGAGGAGGAGAGAGGCAGGUCAAGGAGGAAGGUGGGGGUGUGGCCCUGAGCAGCUUGCUGCCACGGUACCAUGCGCUCUGUUUACAGUGGAUGUAUCGCAAUGGCGAGGCGCACACAGCCGGCGGGAGUCCUGGAGCUCUAUACCUAAAUGAUAUUAUUAUACAUAAAUAUCUAUAUCAUAUAAUAUAUAUUAUCACUGCCAAAAGCUGUGUGAGCCUCCAGACGAUAUUAUGAAUCUCAAACGACUGCGUCGGGUUGUCCGACGUCUGUGGUUCUUCCAAGUCCACAUCUUCUGAAGUAGACUGAACCAAGACAUGGAGGAGAAAGGGAUUGUUGGCCUUGGUUGUCUCCCGCCGGAGCCUCGCUGCCGAGGGACCACCGCCUCGGCAGCGGUCAGCGCUUACGCCUCGUGCCCACUGCACCGUCAGUCAAAGGACUCAGAAGGCGUGGCUGACGGAUGGGGGAGUUUUCCAGGGUCGUCAGAGCCCGAGUAGUGUCACAGUGCUUACAUUUGAAGACGUGAUCUGAUUGGAUGAAGGAUCCGUCGCUGCCGAAAAAGUUGAACAUUUUUCAACUUUUUGACGGAGCCUUCAGCGCACGGAUCCACAAUGCAUUGUGCGUCCGUCCCCAUUCAAAGUCAAUGGGGAUCAGUCAACGGAUGGAGGCAGUGGGCACGAGGCGUUAGGCACCACCACCUCCUGCAGCGGGCAGCGGGAAGCGGGGCUCAAGCGGAAGACAUUCGCGGGCAACAAUCCCUUUCUCCUCCAUGUCAUGGUUCAUGUACUUCAGGGAGUCAAAGCCAAAGUUCCUUUCCCCCAAUUCCUUCUCAACCAUGGCUGAAAUAAUCCCCACUAAGAAUAUCAUUGUGGAAAUACCAGAGACGGGAGUCUCUGGUACGCUUCACUCCACAUCCGUCCAUAGUGAUGGGGGAACUAUGCUGAAGGGCCCCUCCGAAGAGCCGAAAGAGACAUUGAAUGGUUAUUAAAUUAUUGGAACAUAAACACCUUACCGGCAACUGACAAGAGGGAAAUGCCUCUGUUAUUACCGCAGUCUGCUUUGUCUCCUUUGCGCUUAAAGAUUGCGAUGAUGUUGGUAUCCUUCCAAUCUUGCGGGAUGAUUUCAGAUGACCAAAUGUUAAUGAUCAGUAGGUGUAAUCUGCGGGUGAGGAGGUAUCCGCCAAGUUUCAGGAUUUCUGCUGGGACUCCAUCAAGGCCUGGGCUCUUGUUGUUCUUCAGGCCAGCGAUGGCUUUUCCUACCUCAGCAAAGCUGGGGGAGGAGUCCAGAUCAGUGACGGUUGGCAGGCACGGUUGGCUGGCCCCGAGAUGCUGUCCACCCGUGAAUGCCUCAUUUCAGUAUUUUCUGGAGAAAAAACGUUUGCACAUACGUUUUUCUGCUGUAGGUUGUCCAUGGCCUAUAUUUAUAAAAACACCAAUGCUCGGCCAAUCUGUUCAGGAUCUGUCGUUUGUCCUCGUACAGGAUGGUACCAUCUGCUUAUCUGACCGGGGUUAUGUUCUUCCUCUGUGGGCCAUAAAUAACCUUGAUUGAGUCAUAGAAAGCGUGGGAGUUGUUGGUGUCCGCGUGAUGCUGUAUCUCGUGGGAUUUCUUUGUCCACCAGUCAUUCUUCAUGGCUCUGAAGGUACGCUGUGUUUCAGCCCGGAUGUUGUUGAAGCGGGCCUUCAGCAAGGUGGAUUGGGGGUUGGAAAGGUGAGCUGCAAGGGCCUUGUGUUUUGCCUGAAGUAGGUUGUGGAUACCUGGUGCGCUGUUGUCGAACCAGUCUUGGUUUCUUCGUCUGGUGUACUCUACAGACUCUACUGCCGCCCGGUGAUUAGCGGUGCGUACGGUGCUCCAGGUGAUGUUGACAUUCGGAUCAGCUGGUGUUUCAGGGAUCUUGGACAGCUUUAAGGCGAUCUGUUCCCUGAGCUGGUUGACUGAGUACGGGGACUUCAAUGCGUCACAGUUGAGCUUCCUGCAGGGUGGUGUUUUCCUCAGUGGUGGACGGAGUUCCAGGGUGAAUUUGGCUCUGAUCAAGCGGUGAUCAGUCCAACAGUCUGCUCCACACAUGGCUCUGGUAACUCGCACCUCCUUCCUGUCAGCUUGGCGGACAAUGAUGUAAUCAAGGAGGGGCCAGUGUUUAGAGCGGGGGUGUUGCCAGGAGGUCUUAAAUUUGUUCUUCAGUUGGAACAAGGUGUUGGUGAUGACCAACUGAUACUCAGAGCAGAGAGUGAGGAGGCGAAGACCAUUUUCAUUGAGUUUACCAACACCGUGCUGCCCAAGCACAUCCUUCCAUAACACACUGUCAGAGCCCACUCUCGCGUUAAAGUCCCCGAGGAGAAUGAGCUUGUCAGUGGAGGGUGUUUUAUUUAUGGCGGAGUGCAGCGAGGCAUAGAAGAGUUCCUUGCACUCAGGGUCGGCAUCCAGUGUUGGGGCAUAUGCACUGAUGAGGGUGGCAUGACGGUUGUUGGUGAGGGGAAUGCGCCAGGUCAUCAGUCUUUCACUGAUGCCGACUGGGGAUUCUGGGAUCCUCUGAAGUAGGCUUGACCGCACAGCAAAACCUACACCAUGGAGGCAGCGGUAGCCUUCUGGAAGCCCCCUCCAGAAGAAGGUGUAGCCUUCUCCCACCUUUUAGAAUCCUUGCCAUGGAAGCGGGUUUCGCUAAGAGCUGCGUUAUCAAUGUUGCAUCUCUGCAGCUCGUGUGCAACCAGCGCUGUUCUUCUUUGGGGACAAGAUGAGUCAACGGGCACAUCCAAGUGUGCGGACGUUCCAGGUUGCAAUGGUGAGCUUCAUGUGGGUUUUCUUAUUAUAUUUUCGACCGCGUGGAGGGAUGACCCGGCAGCUGCGGCAGGCUACCCGGUUAAACGGAACAGACCUUUUUUUAGGCCACCUUUUCUAGGCCCUUCCCUCUCAGGGUGAGCAGGGAGGAGCUGCUAAGUCGCGUGAGGAGCUGCCGGAGAGGAGCGCUGUUCCAUCCCACUCCUCGGCGACCAUCUUUCUCACGCCGCCUAGCGUGCAGGGUUGGGCUAGAUACUCCCAGUCGCAUCCUGACCUGUACCUGCCGCCCUUCCCCAACGCCACAGGAUACACGGUUGGACAGUAUCGCAGGGCCAGAAUCACCCCACUCCACACACCACACCCGAUACGAAGGACCAGACUGGAUUCAGACCACAAACCAUAUAACCAGGGUGUCCGCGCAGUUGUAGAAGGUAGUAAAAACAAUUGCCUACAGGGAUCGCGGCAGUGUCACAUUUAUACCUUACAGGAAGUAGUAAGCGGUGCUUUGGAUCCCCCCGCCCCGCUGCUUGAUGUCGUGUUGUUGAUAUUGUGGAGGUAGUAAAAGGUAGUCAAUUCAUCUCUAUGAUUCCUGCAUAUACCCUGAUAACGUCUAAUCUGUGUUUUGUAACAGAUGAUCGUUACUCACCCUGUCCACAGCACUUGUACAAUGUCCCGGGUCCCGACAUCCUGUUGUUUGCUGUGGACAUAAGUGAUCUUGGAUACAAUCUUUCUUGGCAAUCUUUUGGCAAAGUUUAUUCACUGAAGUGUGCGAAGUAGUGAGAAGGAUGCAAACCUGUGGGCUCUUGGGUCAAAACCUGUUUACAGUCCAUCUCACAGGAAAUUGAGAGGUAAUUUAUUUCAGGAGGAUCUCCGCAGCAGCCCUGUGUCUCUGGGUUGUACUGGACGUCUCCACAGCAAACGCUGCCCUUGUGUUCCUUCAUAAGGAUCUUCUCACUGCACAGACGUCCACAGCACAACUGCCGGUCCUCAUUAUAGGCCUCUGUAAAAAAAAACAAUUACUGUAUGCACUCUUAUAUUCUAGAUCAGUGGUCUUUAACCUGGGGUUUAUGGAGGUGCUUUAGAGGGGUCACCAAUUGUGUAGGGUUAAAUCAUGGGGUAUUUCUUCUUUAUAAUUGCAAUUAAAGGUCAAAUAUGAAAGUUUUGCGACUUGUGACCUGAUCCUAAACCCUUACCUCUCCAUACUCUCUCAAAACUCUGCCCUGCCCAUCAGACCGCUCACGUAUAACAUCCGCUCUGUGCUUUGUAACAGAUGAUCGUUACUCACCCUGUCCACAGCACUUGUACAAUGUCCCGGGUUCCGGGAUCAUGUUGUUUCCUGUGGACAUGAGUCAUCUUUUAUGCAAUUU